GCCACGCCCAUCACCACACCACAGCCAAUGAAGGGGAAGCGCACUAAAAUCCAAUGGUCGAAUUCACUGGAGUAUUCAGAGGCUUGCAAGGACCACACUGAAAUUUAAGGGUUAGAGACGGACAGUGGAUAGAUCACUGAGAUCGGUAUGACCAAAGCAGUGUGCUAACAUCGAGCGAACGUCAACAGAUCCGGCAGUCCUGCUCAAACAUUACUUCAAACCAGAUAUGCUGACCAGGGUUAGUGUUUGGAAGAUGGAUGGGAGGACUGUGAGAGACUGGGAGAGGUGAGGAUCGCACCUCAUCGAAGUCGGCGAUGAUCUCGUUGAGUAGUCGAAGGCACUCCACGCCCAUGUUG